CUUGGAUAGGCAGAGAUCAGAUACUGUUUGACAUUAACAGAGAAAUGAGAUCCUAAUGAGGACACUCUCAGGCACCAAUAUGAAUUAGCAUGGAAAUGGCCAAAUUCAACCUUGAAGUUCUGCUCUCUUUUCGAUUUCUUCUUCAUAUCAAAUAACCAUCAAAAAUUUCCCCUUAGGAAGAGAGGCUCACUGGGACCCCAAAGAAGCUGCUCUGCAAGUGUAUAUGGUGAUACGAAGCCACACAGCACAAGGGUGGAUUGUGGCAACCAUGGAGGUUUACUGCUCAUAACACCCUUGAAGGAAGAACUUGCUGGCAGCCUCAGCUGUUAAUGAAUUCAUGAUCUGCCUUCACUUUCAAGCCGAAUCUGCAUUCUUCCAAGGUAACCCCCACCCAGUGACUGAGCACAGUAAGGACACUAGGGCCUGGCCAUUUCUGUGGGUUUCUUUAAUGAGCAAUCUUUGCUCUGGAGCUCCCCGUUGGGUUGGCUGAGAUUUUGUCAGAUCUUCAUCAUGGACUGAGGUUCCCACAUCUGGAACCUUCACUAUAAGAAAAUCAGGACAUGGAAUUUUUGGCUUUCCAGCCUGUGUAGUACAAGAAAGCAUCCAAGAAGGAGGGAGAAGGGAGGCGGAGCACUAAUCUACCAUGUACCUCAGCCAGUUCACCGUGUCCCAUGAGGAAGAAGGGAGCAGUGGUUUCUGGAAAGCCACAGGUGAAGGCAUUUCCUGGCUUGAAAACAGAAAUGGAACCAGGAAAGAGGAGAGAGAAAAGCAUAGCCCAGUGGAGCAUGCAAGCAGGUCCGAUGUGGACAAGCUUUUCUGUCUUUUUGGAAUCCCUAUCAAAUGCUGCCCUCUGAUGUUUGUGGAAUAAACUACUUUUGAGAAAUGUGAAAACAGCCUCAUAAGAGAAUGAAUCUAGCUGUAGUUUCCUGGGAUAAAUAGCUCUAGAUGUCUGAACCUCAUGGAAACCAGGAAAAAUCCACCAAACUGGGCACCAAAACUACUUCCAAAUGAUUGGGUCAACUGCCAUACAGAUCAAGUUUUACCGAGGUGCUAUUAACUUAGACCUCUAGGUAUAGCUUAUCUUUUCUUCCACAAUCAGAGUGGGGGCAGUCUUAAGCAUUCCUCAUGGUUCAUGGAAUGAUCAGAAAGCAC
rnacentral:lncRNA from 10 species